rnacentral:rRNA from 1 species
UAGGGAAUAUUGGACAAUGGGGGCAACCCUGAUCCAGCCAUGCCGCGUGAGUGAAGAAGGCCCUCGGGUUGUAAAGCUCUUUUGUCCGGAAAGAAAAGCUUCGGGUUAAUACCCCGGGGUUCUGACGGUACCGGAAGAAUAAGCACCGGCUAACUUCGUGCCAGCAGCCGCGGUAAUACGAAGGGUGCAAGCGUUACUCGGAAUUACUGGGCGUAAAGCGUGCGUAGGUGGUUGUUUAAGUCUGAUGUGAAAGCCCUGGGCUCAACCUGGGAAUGGCAUUGGNAACUGGGCAGCUAGAGUGCGGUAGAGGGUAGUGGAAUUCCCGGUGUAGCAGUGAAAUGCGUAGAGAUCGGGAGGAACAUCUGUGGCGAAGGCGACUGCCUGGACCAGCACUGACACUGAGGCACGAAAGCGUGGGGAGCAAACA